rnacentral:tRNA from 1 species
GGGGCCGUAGCUCAGUUGGGAGAGCGCGUCGUUCGCAAUGACGAGGUCAGGGGUUCGANNGUUCGAUCCCGAUCGGCUCCACCA